rnacentral:piRNA from 1 species
CUGAGCAAACAAUGAGAAUAGCAU